CCGAAUUAUAGGCACCAAUAAAAGGUUUGGAUAUAUGGUGAGGAAUAGUAGUUAAGUUAAACCGUAAGGUAUAAAUUUGAUACGAAAUGCCGAUUAGUCAAUUUUCGGCAAUUUCUUUUGUCCGUGUAAAAUCAUAAAUCGAAGCUAAGGGGUAAUAAUUUUAUAAAUUACAAAUUAUGGCCUAGAAUAAUUGUUGAUAAUGUGAGGAAUUGUUUUGGGCCAUUUGAAGGUAAUUAAAAAAAUUUCUAUCGCCGAUAAUUUCAGUUUUUAACGAAAACGAUCGGCGAAACUUUUGAAGAUAUAGACAGGAAUAAUUUUGCCUUAAACUAGAAUUUAAAUGCUAAAUGAUGAUAUAAAGAGUUCCUAAAUGUGAUAUCAUAUGAUAGGGCAAUAAAAUGUUACAAGAUAAUUAAUUUAUUUAAAAACUAACUAAAUAAUUAAAUAAUGAUUAGAAUUCUCUAGAGAAUUCUUUUGUCUAUCAUCAACUCCAAACCCCCCCUCAUUUCAGCCACAAGCACGUCCUCCCCCUCUCCAUGGAAGACCAAAAGCUUAAGCUUUUUAAUUUCCGAAUAUUUGUCAUUUAAUCGGUAAAUCGAUCGGGUAAUCUUGUAUCCGCCAGCAAAUCGAGCGAAGGAGCAUAUAGUGCGUUUUGAUCACAAAGGAGUGGAUUUAGAGGGUAGAGAAGUAUCAAGGUGAAAUAGGCUUAUGUUCAUAAGCCUGCGAGGUUAGAGUCGACAUUAUGUCAGUGGUGUUGCGCAGCUUUGCAUCUUUGGCGAGUCACUGGUGGUCAACUUGGUUUAGUAGUCGUGGCAUGUUAUGUAAUAGUUUAAUCUUUAACCUUCCGCUGGAUAAAUGUUAAGUUUUUAAAUGUAAUAGAUUUUAAUUAUGCUUUUAAGCUAAAAAGAAAAAGGAAAAAUUUCAGCACGGGUUUUCGAUACUGAAACGUGACAUCACUUAUUCGGUUGGUUACCUACCGGGUAAGGGGUGUUACAAGUUUUGGUAUCAGAGCCUAGGUUUAGGCGGUUCUGGAAAGAAGUGAUUCAGUAAAGUGGUUUACUGGUUUAAUUGUCUGUUAGUACCAGUGACUCGAUGCAGCUGCUUAUGUCUAAAGUGGAAAGAAGUUAACAAGGUACGGGACAUAGUUUCCCGUGUGACCGAGAAAGAUGUUAUAUGGGACUGGCCACCCCAUAUAGCUCUAAUCUCGGUAGCGUCGGUAUGUGUAAAAGAUUUUAAAAAAAAAAUUCAGGGAGGAUGGGUCUGAAAAUGUUGAUGAAAAGUAUGUCCUAAUGAAAGAUACUAAUAAAUAUAUGCAGAUUAUGAAAGAGUAUAAGUAAAAGAGAAGAAAAUGAGUUAAAGGAAUGAUAUGGAAAGAAAGUAAGUUAUAGACUAAGUGACCAUCAUGAUAUAAAAGUGUAACACGAAAAUUCACAAAGGUAUGUGGAUUGUCUGAUAUAAGAUGGAUUAAGAGUCAUAAAGUAAUAUCCUAUAAUGAUAAACAAAAGUAUAGAAAUAUGUGAAAGGAAAUGUGUUUGGCAAAAUGAUAAAUAUUGAUAUGAAAACAUAUGAAACUAUAAGGCAUUAUAUGAAUAAAACCAUAAAUGUGCGAAUGAGAAAAUGCGACGAAUAAGAAAUAAAUGAUAUGAUCUGAACAUGUGUGCCCCUAUAUGGAUUACAUGUGUACUUCGAAUCGGGCAAUAUGAGAUAUGACGUGAUGUGAUGGAAAUAUGAACUGAAUAAUCGUGCAAGACAAUAAAUUAUAUGAUUGGAAAUGUGAACUCCGUGAGAAUUAUGUGUGCGCUCGAAUACGAGCUAUAUAAAUGUUAGAACCGAAUGAUGAUUCAGAAAUGAAAUGGAAAAUGGGAAUGUAUGCUCUAAGCGAGCUGUAUAGUAUAUGAUAAGAUAUGUCUAAAAAUAUGAGUUUGAAAUUGAGCUAUAUGAUAUAAAAUGGUAUUCUGGUUGAAAGUGUUGUCUGUGAUCUGUAAAUGUGUUAGUUAUGGAUAAGAAUGAGUUUUGAAAAUAAAUAUGGUUGUUGAUGAAUACUGACUUGAUAUUUGAAUUAUGUUGUGAUUUGGUGGUUUGAUUUGAUAAUCUGUGAUUAACAUUGUAUCUUGUUGGUUUUGGGGAAGCACUGGUUAUAGAGAAAACGCUGCCCAAUUUUUGCUAGAAAUUGAUCAGAUAAAUUAAUACGAAGUUGUGGUAAAUAAACUGAUAAGUGAUAAUACAUGAAGAGAAUGAUGUUACAUGAUGACUUAAGAAAUGAAAAAGGGAAAAGAUAAGAAGUGUUGUGAAUGAUAAUAAAGGAAAACGUAAUGAAAUGAUGAUAUGUGGAAAGUGAAAUGCACCCUUCGUCGGCUAUAAGUGCCCGAAUAGGGACUAUGCAAUUGGGACUAUACAAUAUAUGAUGAGUAUGUGAAUUAUACAUAUGCGUGAUGAAUAUGAUAUGUGCGCCUCAUGUGGACAAAGAAAAGAUGCAAAUAACAUGGAAAUUACUAUGUAAAGAAAUGAUAAUGUGACAAAUGUGCUUGAAAUAUAUUAGAGAUAAUGAUAAUAUUAUUAUGUGAUCGCAAAAUGUGGCUAUGUGUUAAGAUGUGAUUAUGUGAUUUUGUAUGUCAUUCUGUGUUUGGUUAUGGAAGUGUGGAUACGCUAUGUAGAUGAGGAUAUAGGAUGUCGUGGAAUGGCAUACGUAUAUGCGACGCUUAUAGGAAUGAUGUAAACCCGAGGGAAUUUCGAGGACGAAAUUCCUUUUAGGGGGGAUGAGUUGUAACAUCCCGAAUUAUAGGCACCAAUAAAAGGUUUGGAUAUAUGGUGAGGAAUAGUAGUUAAGUUAAACCGUAAGGUAUAAAUUUGAUACGAAAUGCCGAUUAGUCAAUUUUCGGCAAUUUCUUUUGUCCGUGUAAAAUCAUAAAUCGAAGCUAAGGGGUAAUAAUUUUAUAAAUUACAAAUUAUGGCCUAGAAUAAUUGUUGAUAAUGUGAGGAAUUGUUUUGGGCCAUUUGAAGGUAAUUAAAAAAAUUUCUAUCGCCGAUAAUUUCAGUUUUUAACGAAAACGAUCGGCGAAACUUUUGAAGAUAUAGACAGGAAUAAUUUUGCCUUAAACUAGAAUUUAAAUGCUAAAUGAUGAUAUAAAGAGUUCCUAAAUGUGAUAUCAUAUGAUAGGGCAAUAAAAUGUUACAAGAUAAUUAAUUUAUUUAAAAACUAACUAAAUAAUUAAAUAAUGAUUAGAAUUCUCUAGAGAAUUCUUUUGUCUAUCAUCAACUCCAAACCCCCCCUCAUUUCAGCCACAAGCACGUCCUCCCCCUCUCCAUGGAAGACCAAAAGCUUAAGCUUUUUAAUUUCCGAAUAUUUGUCAUUUAAUCGGUAAAUCGAUCGGGUAAUCUUGUAUCCGCCAGCAAAUCGAGCGAAGGAGCAUAUAGUGCGUUUUGAUCACAAAGGAGUGGAUUUAGAGGGUAGAGAAGUAUCAAGGUGAAAUAGGCUUAUGUUCAUAAGCCUGCGAGGUUAGAGUCGACAUUAUGUCAGUGGUGUUGCGCAGCUUUGCAUCUUUGGCGAGUCACUGGUGGUCAACUUGGUUUAGUAGUCGUGGCAUGUUAUGUAAUAGUUUAAUCUUUAACCUUCCGCUGGAUAAAUGUUAAGUUUUUAAAUGUAAUAGAUUUUAAUUAUGCUUUUAAGCUAAAAAGAAAAAGGAAAAAUUUCAGCA